AGAGUUUGAUCCUGGCUCAGGACGAACGUUGGCGGCGUGCUUAACACAUGCAAGUCGAACGGUAAGGCCCUUCGGGGUACACGAGUGGCGAACGGGUGAGUAACACGUGGGUAAUCUGCCCUGCACAUCGGGAUAAGCCUGGGAAACUGGGUCUAAUACCGAAUAGGACCACAGGACACAUGUCCUGUGGUGGAAAGCUUUUGCGGUGUGGGAUGGGCCCGCGGCCUAUCAGCUUGUUGGUGGGGUGAUGGCCUACCAAGGCGACGACGGGUAGCCGGCCUGAGAGGGUGUCCGGCCACACUGGGACUGAGAUACGGCCCAGACUCCUACGGGAGGCAGCAGUGGGGAAUAUUGCACAAUGGGCGAAAGCCUGAUGCAGCGACGCCGCGUGGGGGAUGACGGCCUUCGGGUUGUAAACCUCUUUCACCAUCGACGAAGGUCCGGGUUUUCUCGGGCUGACGGUAGGUGGAGAAGAAGCACCGGCCAACUACGUGCCAGCAGCCGCGGUAAUACGUAGGGUGCGAGCGUUGUCCGGAAUUACUGGGCGUAAAGAGCUCGUAGGUGGUUUGUCGCGUUGUUCGUGAAAUCUCGCGGCUUAACUGUGAGCGUGCGGGCGAUACGGGCAGACUUGAGUACUGCAGGGGAGACUGGAAUUCCUGGUGUAGCGGUGAAAUGCGUAGA
rnacentral:rRNA from 1 species